rnacentral:rRNA from 1 species
UACAGAGGUCCCAAGCGUUGUUCGGAUUCAUUGGGCGUAAAGGGUGCGUAGGCGGCGCGGUAAGUCGGGUGUGAAAUCUCGGAGCUUAACUCCGAAACUGCAUUCGAUACUGCCGUGCUUGAGGACUGGAGAGGAGACUGGAAUUUACGGUGUAGCGGUGAAAUGCGUAGAUAUUCGCAAGAACACCAGUGGCGAAGGCGGCUCACUGGCCCGAUACUGACGCUGAGGCGCGAAAGCGUGGGGAGCAAACAGG